AGAGUUUGAUCCUGGCUCAGGACGAACGCUGGCGGCGUGCCUAAUACAUGCAAGUCGAGCGAGCUUGCCUAGAUGAUUUUAGUGCUUGCACUAAAUGAAACUAGAUACAAGCGAGCGGCGGACGGGUGAGUAACACGUGGGUAACCUGCCCAAGAGACUGGGAUAACACCUGGAAACAGAUGCUAAUACCGGAUAACAACACUAGACGCAUGUCUAGAGUUUGAAAGAUGGUUCUGCUAUCACUCUUGGAUGGACCUGCGGUGCAUUAGCUAGUUGGUAAGGUAACGGCUUACCAAGGCAAUGAUGCAUAGCCGAGUUGAGAGACUGAUCGGCCACAUUGGGACUGAGACACGGCCCAAACUCCUACGGGAGGCAGCAGUAGGGAAUCUUCCACAAUGGACGAAAGUCUGAUGGAGCAACGCCGCGUGAGUGAAGAAGGGUUUCGGCUCGUAAAGCUCUGUUGGUAGUGAAGAAAGAUAGAGGUAGUAACUGGCCUUUAUUUGACGGUAAUUACUUAGAAAGUCACGGCUAACUACGUGCCAGCAGCCGCGGUAAUACGUAGGUGGCAAGCGUUGUCCGGAUUUAUUGGGCGUAAAGCGAGUGCAGGCGGUUCAAUAAGUCUGAUGUGAAAGCCUUCGGCUCAACCGGAGAAUUGCAUCAGAAACUGUUGAACUUGAGUGCAGAAGAGGAGAGUGGAACUCCAUGUGUAGCGGUGGAAUGCGUAGAUAUAUGGAAGAACACCAGUGGCGAAGGCGGCUCUCUGGUCUGCAACUGACGCUGAGGCUCGAAAGCAUGGGUAGCGAACAGGAUUAGAUACCCUGGUAGUCCAUGCCGUAAACGAUGAGUGCUAAGUGUUGGGAGGUUUCCGCCUCUCAGUGCUGCAGCUAACGCAUUAAGCACUCCGCCUGGGGAGUACGACCGCAAGGUUGAAACUCAAAGGAAUUGACGGGGACCCGCACAAGCGGUGGAGCAUGUGGUUUAAUCCGAAGCAACGCGAAGAACCUUACCAGGCCUUGACAUCCUGAUGGCGGGACAUGCAAUGUGUCCUUCCCUCUGGGGCAUCAGUGACAGGUGGUGCAUGGUUGUCGUCAGCUCGUGUCGUGAGAUGUUGGGUUAAGUCCCGCAACGAGCGCAACCCCUGUCCACAGUAGCCAGCGCCAAGGGCGGGCACUCUGUGGAGACUGCCGGGGACAACCCGGAGGAAGGCGGGGAUGACGUCAAAUCAUCAUGCCCCUUAUGGCCUGGGCUACACACGUGCUACAAUGGCGCAGACAGAGGGAUGCGAAGCCGCGAGGCGGAGCGGACCCCAGAAAUGGCGCCCCAGUUCGGACUGCAGCCUGCAACCCGGCUGCACGAAGCCGGAAUCGCUAGUAAUCGCGGAUCAGAAUGCCGCGGUGAAUACGUUCCCGGGUCUUGUACUCACCGCCCGUCA
rnacentral:rRNA from 1 species